UUAUGGCUCAGGAUGAACGCUAGCUACAGGCUUAACACAUGCAAGUCGAGGGGCAGCAUGGGAUUAGCUUGCUAAUCUUGAUGGCGACCGGCGCACGGGUGAGUAACGCGUAUCCAACCUUCCCCCUACUCAGGCAUAGCCCGGUGAAAACCGGAUUAACUCCUGAUAGUUUCACUAGAUGGCAUCUGACGGUGAAUAAAGCUUUGCGGUAAGGGAUGGGGAUGCGUCUGAUUAGCUUGUUGGCGGGGUAACGGCCCACCAAGGCGACGAUCAGUAGGGGUUCUGAGAGGAAGGUCCCCCACAUUGGAACUGAGACACGGUCCAAACUCCUACGGGAGGCAGCAGUGAGGAAUAUUGGUCAAUGGGCGCGAGCCUGAACCAGCCAAGUAGCGUGCAGGAAGACGGCCCUAUGGGUUGUAAACUGCUUUUGUAUGGGAAUAAAGUCAGGGACGUGUCCCUGUUUGCAUGUACCAUAAGAAUAAGGACCGGCUAAUUCCGUGCCAGCCGCCGC
rnacentral:rRNA from 1 species